GAUGAACGCUGGCGGCGCGCCUAAUACAUGCAAGUCGAGCGAACGGACGAGAAGCUUGCUUCUCUGAUGUUAGCGGCGGACGGGUGAGUAACACGUGGAUAACCUACCUAUAAGACUGGGAUAACUUCGGGAAACCGGAGCUAAUACCGGAUAAUAUUUUGAACCGCAUGGUUCAAAAGUGAAAGACGGUCUUGCUGCCACUUAUAGAUGGAUCCGCGCUGCAUUAGCUAGUUGGUAAGGUAACGGCUUACCAAGGCAACGAUGCAUAGCCGACCUGAGAGGGUGAUCGGCCACACUGGAACUGAGACACGGUCCAGACUCCUACGGGAGGCAGCAGUAGGGAAUCUUCCGCAAUGGGCGAAAGCCUGACGGAGCAACGCCGCGUGAGUGAUGAAGGUCUUCGGAUCGUAAAACUCUGUUAUUAGGGAAGAACAUAUGUGUAAGUAACUGUGCACAUCUUGACGGUACCUAAUCAGAAAGCCACGGCUAACUACGUG
rnacentral:rRNA from 1 species